rfam:Lupinus angustifolius cultivar Tanjil chromosome LG20, whole genome shotgun sequence.
GUGGGGAUAGCUUAGUUGGGAGAGCAUCAGACUGAAGAUCUGAAGGUCAUUUAUUCGAUCCACGCC